CGCGUAGGUGGUUUGUUAAGUUGGAUGUGAAAUCCCCGGGCUCAACCUGGGAACUGCAUUCAAAACUGACUGACUAGAGUAUGGUAGAGGGUGGUGGAAUUUCCUGUGUAGCGGUGAAAUGCGUAGAUAUCUGCAGGAACAUCCGAGGCGAAAGCGGCUCGCUGGAUCGCAACUGACGCUGAGGGACGAAAGCUAGGGGAGCAAACAGGAUUAGAUACCCUGGUAGUCCUAGCCCUAAACGAUCAGGACUGGGCGUGGGCCUCGUACGGGGCUCGUGCCGCAGCUAACGCGUUAAGUCCUGCGCCUGGGGAGUACGGUCGCAAGGCUGAA
rnacentral:rRNA from 1 species